UGGGGAAUAUUGGACAAUGGGCGAAAGCCUGAUCCAGCCAUGCCGCGUGUGUGAAGAAGGUCUUCGGAUUGUAAAGCACUUUACGUUGGGAGGAAGGGCAGUAAGCGAAUACCUUGCUGUUUUGACGUUACCGACAGAAUAAGCACCGGCUAACUCUGUGCCAGCAGCCGCGGUAAUACAGAGGGUGCAAGCGUUAAUCGGAAUUACUGGGCGUAAAGCGCGCGUAGGUGGUUCGUUAAGUUGAAUGUGAAAGCCCCGGGCUCAACCUGGGAACUGCAUCCAAAACUGGCGAGCUAGAGUAGGGCAGAGGGGGGUGGAAUUUCCUGUGUAGCGGUGAAAUGCGUAGAUAUAGGAAGGAACACCAGUGGCGAAGGCGACCACCUGGGCUCAUACUGACACUGAGGUGCGAAAGCGUGGGGAGCAAACAGG
rnacentral:rRNA from 1 species